rnacentral:lncRNA from 1 species
CAUAAAUGGAUGUUCAGAUUUUAAUUCUCGGGUAUUUUUGCUGUUUAAGCAUAGUUGUUGGCUUUGCUAGAAGCGGCGUUUUCCUGUGUCACUGACCGGAAACGCAUUCGCAAACAUAAACAAAACAACGGAGGAGCAGUGUGAGCACAAAACUUAUGAAUGGCACUGUGUAGUAGCAGAAGGUGCGCUCGGUGGGGUGUGCCAUUUUUUAUUGAGUUAGUUUUGAACCAAAAAAAAGAGAGCAAUGCAAAAUGAUCCUGGUACUCAGACUGCGAGUAGCAAUGGGAUGGCUCAGCAAGAGGAAUGUGAGAGUAUUCCUUCUCAAGUUCAAGACACGCUCAAAAUUGAUAUUUACUUCUCAAAAUAUAAUGCAUAAUAUCUUACUUCAAUCAAAUCGUACCUGCCCCGAGGGCAACGCAACUCAAUCAAAGCAAUCCAAGCUCCUAAUGGAAAUAAUAGAACGCAGACAACAACAACGAAAAAUCAGAAAAACCAGUAGCAGCCAAAAAGGUGAACCGAAAUGCUAAGCUGACAUCUGUUCCUAUGAAGUAGAUUAUUGAUUCCAGAGCGUAUAACGCUUUGUUGUGUCUCUGUUUUCUGGUCGGGCUGUUUGCUGCAUUGUCGAGUCACACAAAAAGCCUUUGCGCCUCCAAAAAUAUCAAAAUCUGAAAUUGUCAGCGCCGUUAAGAGUCAAU